rnacentral:rRNA from 1 species
GGGAUUGCCUUAGUAACGGCGAGUGAAGCGGCAACAGCUCAAAUUUGAAAUCUGGCCCCUCCGGGGUCCGAGUUGUAAUUUGUAGAGAGUGCUUCGGGCGAGGCCUCGGUCUAAGUCCAUUGGAACAUGGUGUCAUAGAGGGUGAGAAUCCCGUAUGCGACCGUGGCUCGAGCCCAUGUGAAGCCUCUUCGACGAGUCGAGUUGUUUGGGAAUGCAGCUCAAAAUGGGUGGUAAAUUUCAUCUAAAGCUAAAUACUGGCUGGAGACCGAUAGCGCACAAGUAGAGUGAUCGAAAGAUGAAAAGCACUUUGGAAAGAGAGUCAAACAGUACGUGAAAUUGUUGAAAGGGAAGCGCUUGCAACCAGACCUGCCCGUAGGCGAUCAGCCGCUGUUUUCAGCGGUGUACUCGCUCUGCGAUCAGGCCAGCAUCGGUUUCGGCGGUCGGAUAAAGGCCUUGGGAAUGUAGCUUCCCUUCGGGGGAGUCUUAUAGCCCUCGGUGCAAUGCGGCCAGCCGGGACCGAGGACCGCGCUUCGGCUAGGAUGCUGGCGUAAUGGUUGUAAGCGACCCGUCUUGAAACACGGACCAAGGAGUCUAACAUCUAUGCGAGUGUUUGGGUGUCAAACCCAUGCGCGGAAUGAAAGUGAACGGAGGUGAGAACCCUUAAAGGGCGCAUCAUCGACCGAUCCAGAUGUCUUCGGAUGGAUUUGAGUAUGAGCAUAGCUGUUGGGACCCGAA